UACGAACCGUCCAAACGUUAUUCGGAAUCACUGGGCUUAAAGGGUGCGUAGGCUGCGCUGUAAGUUGGGUGUGAAAGCCCUCGGCUUAACCGAGGAACUGCGCUCAAUACUGCUGUGCUUGAGGGAGAUAGAGGUGAGCGGAACUUAGGGUGGAGCGGUGAAAUGCGUUGAUAUCCUAAGGAACACCUGGGGCGAAAGCGGCUCACUGGAUCUUUUCUGACGCUGAUGCACGAAAGCUAGGGUAGCGAACGGG
rnacentral:rRNA from 1 species